AUCCUUUGUGGUUCAUGAGGGCGCUGACUGGAAUUUCACCCCACCGUGUGAGAUGUGUCUCCCUGAAACCUUGGUACUAGUUCCCUGUUACACAGUUAAUGUGAAA